UCUGUCAAUAUGCAGCCUCUCUGUUCAUUCACGGCUGCCUCUCUGUUAUAUACAAGAAAACGGAUGAUCGACAUUCACAAAACAGAAAUGCAAUGGAGAGGGUUCCCAUGCCAGUGUCAAUCGACGACUAGAUAGGCUACCCGUGCCAGAAAAGUGAGCCGAUCGAGAGGCUUCCCGUGCCACAACGAAAGCGAAAAGAGGCAGCCGAGAAUGAACAGAGAGGCAGCAUUUUGACAGAGAGGCCACCGAUAUGAAUCUACA